rnacentral:tRNA from 1 species
GACUAUGUGGCUCAGUGACAGAGCCUCUGAUUUGAAUGCAGAAGGCCCCGAGUUCAAUUCCUGGCAUUUCCA